UGCUUGCACCGAUAAAUAAGUGGUGGUAACACUGUUAUUAUACGCACUAGUUUCAAUCAUAACAUUAGCAGCUGAUCGUAAUUUUUGAUUCUAUUGCGGUCGAUAUAAUAGCUUUUGGAAGUCCGUAAUAUUAAUUUGAAAUGUCUCGUUUAAUUUUGCGUUCCUUGCGUAGUUCAGUUGGAGUUUUACGCAGUAACAAUCGCUUAUUUAACAUUUGCUUACUUCAAUCGCAAAAUUUGACAUCAUUUCAACAUUAUGGAGCGAUUCCUACAAAUAAAGCGCUGUUGGAAAUUAAGUCCUCGGUUCCACUUUAUCAAUACUGUCGUACUAUGUUUAUACAGACACAAGACACACCCAACCCUGACAGUCUAAAAUUUCUCCCCGGCACAGACGUUCUGGGAAAAGGUAAUACAUACGACUUUCCCAGUGUAUCUGCGGCGUAUUGUAGCCCCUUAGCAAAGCUUCUCUUUCGUAUUGACGGGGUGCGCGCUGUGUUCUUCGGUGCCGAUUUCAUAACAAUAUCUAAAGAAGAAGAAACGGAUUGGGCCAUUAUUAAGCCAGAAGUUUUCGCUGUAAUAAUGGACUUUUUUGCCAGCGGUUUACCAAUCCUGAACGAAGCUAAACCAAAUUCAGAUACACAAAUCGAAGAUGACGACGACGAUGUGGUUAUGAUGAUUAAAGAACUUCUUGACAGUCGUAUCAGACCCACUGUGCAAGAAGAUGGUGGAGAUAUUAUAUAUAUGGGUUAUGAAGACGGUGUAGUUAAGUUAAAGAUGCAGGGAUCAUGUUCUUCAUGUCCAAGCUCUAUUGUUACGCUUAAAAAUGGCGUACAAAAUAUGUUGCAAUUCUACAUACCCGAAGUUGUGUCUGUUGAGCAAGUUUCUGAUAAAGUAGAUAAAUUCGCAGAAAAAGAAUUUGAAAAAUUCGAAAGCAAAAUCAAGUUGAAAGAACCUUCGCCGACAAAUGAAACACAAGCUUAAUGUGCUAAAUAUGAUUCAUUUAAUGUUGUUAAAUGUACCAAAUUCUACUCAGUAUAACGAGGUAUAAAUUUUGGUGACUGCAUUGAUGCUGAUGAUGAUGACGGUGAUGGCAGCGGAGGUGAUGGCGAUGGCAGCUGAGGAGAGGGAAACGGAGAGGACGGCGAUGGCAUCGAAGAUGUUGGUGAAUACUAAACAAAACAAAAUUUUAA